rnacentral:misc_RNA from 1 species
AGUCAGCCGCGGUAAUUCCAGCUCCAAUAGCGUAUAUUAAAGUUGUUGCAGUUAAAAAGCUCGUAGUUGAACCUCGGGGUCUACCCACUGGUCAGGCUUAAUUGUCUGCACUGGUGAGAUGGAUCUCUACCUUCUGAGGAACUUUCAUGCCAUUUAUUGGUGUGAUGGGAAAUCAGGACUGUU